AGGGAUGUGAUUCAGUUGGUAGAGUGCUUGCCUAGCAUGCAUGAAGCUCUGGGUUCAAGCCCCAGCACCACAU
rnacentral:tRNA from 1 species